UUUUAGAGAAGACGACAAUCAUUUGAAUUAUAUUGCCACAAAUAAAAUGAAUACAAGAGGGUUUUAACCAUUGAACAAUUUAUAUCGGAAAAAUAUUGCAAGAAUAUAAAGCCAAAUGACCAAAAACGGUAAAACUUUCAUUGUGAUCUACAACCUGUUCAUGCUAGUUUAUUCCUAUACUGUAACAGUGAACAAAUAAAGUUUCAAAACCACAGACAGUGCCAGCUGCAAUAGAAAGAUGCUAGCUACGAUCAAAAACCACCUUUCACCUGCAGAUUUGAUAUGGGUUCGUAGAUUAAGUGCAACAAAGGUUGCUGACAUAAAGCCUGCAACACCAGCGACCACCCACCUGAAAAUUUCCAACGGAAUAAUGGAGAGACACUGCAACCAAAUGCAAAAAUUCAGCUAUUUGCCAAUGCCUGUUGGAACACUCAUGAAAUCUUCAUUUUUUAAAAUAGAAGCAGGAUAAUCUCAUUAUUCUCAUAUCUUAUCUUCACAACAUAAUAUAGGUUGUCCAAAUAUGUGGCUUAUAUUCAGACAAGCAAUAAAAAAAUCACUUCAUACAUCUCUCAUCCUAAAUCAUCACAAAUUGCUGCUAAAGAACUAAUUCAAAUAAGAAUUUUCUCCAGGGUACUUGUGACAAUGCCAUCCUGCUGCAAAUUUUUACUUUUUCCAUCAAUAAGCCCAUCCUCUUGUGAUACGACACAGUUUACAACUGAAAAGGAUGAGUUGUAAUUCUGUUAAAAAUGUUGUUGGAUUAGUUGCAAAUCUGUUGUAAAUGUUCAAGUAGUUAGUGAGCUAGCUGAUAGUCAGUUACUAUAAUCUGCAUGUAAGGAGCUAACUCUAUUGUAAUUAGUGUAUAUUGAUUGAAUGGAAACUCUCCUCCCUUGGAUUCUUCUCUACUCUUCUAUUCUUCUCUCUGAAAUUCUCUCUUCUUCCCUGCUCUUACUUUUUCUAUUAAAUCUGCAUCAUCCUGAAAUGUUUUUAAAUCAAUACAUUACUGCAAUAGUUUAUUGCUGAACAAGUUUCUUAAUAAAACCUAUUUGCUAAGGAUCAUUGGAGCUACACAACUACAAAGAGGUUGCACAAAAUUGAGUGCAACAUUUGAAAAAGAGAGCACAUCUAACUAUUACUUCUUAUGUAAGACUAUUUGGCAAAAAUGUUUAUAUGAAAUUUUCAGGAAUAAAUGUAUAUUUCUUCCAAUCUAUUUUUCAACUGUUUUAUGAAGUGUUGGAUCUCUUUACGGGCAUUUGCUUGAUAACAAGCUUUCCCAGAAUUAUUUUUCUAUUUUUGUUUGGUCAACAUUUUUGUCAAAAUAGUGGAAGCUGAAGAACUAACAAGAAUUCACAGCAAACAGAAAACUUACCAAUGCUGGAAUAAAGAUAAAUAAGGAGUAGCCAUAGAGACAAAACAGCUGGACAAGGCCAGAUGGUGCUGAAAAGUACUUAAGGAUUACAUACAAUCCAAGAGGAACAAUGGUCACAUAUCCAUAGAACACACCAGCAGACCAAGUCACCAGAUUUAUGUCAUAUUCCCAUUCUUUCUUUUGUAGCUUGUGUGCUAUAUACGUAACAAAAGUGCCAAUUGAAGCUGCCACAAAGAUUAGGGUAGUGCAUAUCCAGAAUGGUCCAUACCUGGACAGAUAUUGAACUUUAAGACACAUUCAUUACUUAAAGGAAACAAACGGGAGAAGAAGGGUAGAGAAAAAUGAGAAUGAGGUUGUUUCGUACCUCAUUCUCAUUUAAGAUCCAUCAUAUAUAGUGGGUCUACUAGGUUAGUUACUAGUGGUUCAAGUCUAGAACUACCAUUGUUUUGUACCAGAAAAGGUCGGUAAAAGCAUAAAAUUCUCUUCAUUGUCUUAGCAUGCACUAGUUAACAGAAAUUUAUAGCAUUUGGAUCUAGAAAGGGUUGCCACUUCUGAGGGAGAAGGUACUCAGAUACAGAAAAUUUAUUAGGAAAUUCUUCAAUUUAUACUGUGCCUAUAAUCUUGCCAAUGCAUUUGCAUUUUUUUCAUGGCAUCCACUUUGCAUAAAUAUACCCAUCCAAGUAAAACUCCUAAUCAUUUUAAAGCCUUAGAAAUUUGCUUUUCAUCCAAUGUUUAUUUAUAACAGCAGCUAAACCAUCCAACUAACUAGCUUUGUCAUGCAGUGAUAGGUGGUUAACAGUACACAAUAAGUUGCAUUACACACAAUCAUGCAUAAAAGAAAGUAAUAUAAACAAACCUUCCAAAAAUAAAUUGUAAAAUUUUUUAUGUCUUUAUCACUUCAACCAAAGUCCAAUUGCAGGUUGUUUCUGAUGUUAAUCCACCAUGAAUAUACAACCCACUUAUUCAGAACUGACAAUAAAGCACAAAAAAUACAUCAAUCUUCAAUUAUAAAAGGAUAUGGCCAUACUGAAAAAGUGUAUGCAAACAAUAAAUUAAGUAUCAUUACUAAAUACCAAGUCCUACAGUUAGUUCCUUGGCACAUUUGACAAGGUUCCUCUUUAGAAACACUAGCAUCCACACAUGCCAAAACCAUAAUAUUCAUUUGUAAAUGACAUCAUAACAACUUUAGAUAUCAACUUUACAUCAUGAUAUUGUUGUAGGAGAAGCCCAUAAAAUUUUGCAUAAAUAUGUUGACAAUAUCAUAACAGACCACAGAAUGGCACAAUAAGAAUAUUGAUGUGUCCUUGAUUUCAUAGUAUAGUUACCUCUAAUACAUGUUUAUUCCUAAUUUCCCACUAGAACACAUUGUCUAUUGUCAAUUUUUUUUUUCUCUGUUUAUUUGUUUUCUUAGCAAAGCAUCAAUGAACAAUUUAAAAUAAAAGAAAUGUUUCAAUAUAAAGAACAAAAGGUUUCUGAUAUAUUCAAUGUUUACUUAAAUCAAAUAAUAUCAAACAGAUAAAAUGAGUUAGGCAGAGUGAACUCACAAAUCUGGGUUGCCAGCAGUUUUCUCAGAAAAAGUUCCUCUGAAAGGGAAAAGCGAAUCUUUGAUUCUCUCCAAAACAUCUGUAGUGUCUAUAUCAAAGUAUAGCUUAUAUGCAGCAAUUGUGAAUGUCCGCAACCAACCACUUUGCUGGGGUUCAUCAGAACCAGAAGAAGGUUUUGAAAAUGUAUCUCACUCAGGGAGCGCCUGAGCUUUGCGCCUUGCCCCUAGGUUGUACACCUUGAGCCUUUAGUAACUAUGAUUGCAACUACACAACAUCUCACUAUAUUUUGAUUUGGUUCAUCAGACACUUUGCAGCUCCAUUGUCACUUUCCAAUUGUUAGCUAUUUCAAAACGAAAUUAAAUCAGAUUAAAAAUGAAAUAUCAAUGUAUACCAUCAGCAUCGCGAGGAGGGUGAGAUCCACCGGAGAUUUUCCCAUGCGCAUUUGGUGGAGGAAACGUCUGCAGAUUCGAAUCUGCAACGGCAUAUCCAAGCAAUCAUAUCACAAACACGAAGAUUAACAAAACUGAAAAAUAAAACAAAAAUUGCACUAAUUAGCAUUAGCCACAUCACCAUCCUAUAAUACCUAUACUUCAUGCAGGUUCAAUUUCCAAGCUCGCCUUAAACUAGACAUACCAUUCAAUUCACCAGACGACAUUAUUAUUGUAAAUUUUCUAUUUCAAAUCCCAGCAUUUUCUCAGCUACCAAACAGCAACAAAUUUUGCACCAAAAUUGAAAAAAAAAAUGUAAGCAAAAACAGAAUUCAGCAGAAAAAGGAUAGCACCUGAGAAUUUACCAGAGAGGCCUGGAUCUGGAACAGAAGGUACGGAUCCCGAGACCUUUUGAUUAUCAAUACUAGUGUAAUUGCCUGACAUCAUCUUUACAAGACUUCUGAUUCUUUCUGCGCUCGCAGGACACUGGCCGGCAAGCUUGGGCGCUGAGUUUAUUGAUUUAUUUAUUUAUUUAUAUAAUUUUAUUAUUUGUCAAUACAUCCAACCGGGAGGUCUGCCUGUGUCAAGUAAUGAGGC
rnacentral:misc_RNA from 1 species